rnacentral:lncRNA from 1 species
AUGCAGUGCAGUAAGAACACAAAGUGUGGAGGUUGUGGCAGCUGUGGCGAGUUGGGCCGCGUGUGGUACAACGAGCUCCGUAACUCGGUGUGUCCGCGCAUCGCACGGGACCCCUCCAUCCUUCGAGGGGGCAAAAUGGCGGCCAGCACCUUCUCCCUCAGCGCACCCCGCACUCUGAGCGCGGCAAGGGGGCGCGCGAGCCCCCGGCGGCUCCACCAGGGGGCGGGCCGGGGCGGGGCGGGGCGGGCCGGGGGGGGCCGAGGCUGCCGCCGCCGCUGCCGGCUACACUGGUGGGGCGGCGGCGGGAGCGGGCGGCCGCGGAGGAUGUCGAACUGGCUUAGGUCUUUGAAAACUACCCCACUGUCAAGCUCCCUCUGAGUUGCUUCCAGUCCUCAGGAGUGAAGGUAGAAUUAAGGGGUACCUGCUGAGUGGAUGUCAGAUUUUGAAGCACUGGCAUAUGGGAACAUCAGCCUUUACUUACCUGGGCUAGAAUAACUUUUGUAGCUGUUGGAGCCAGAAUCUAGAGGGAUAAGCACAGUGCUGCAUGCUGCCAAUUAAUGGCUCAAAAUAAGAUAUAAUGAAAAAUUUUAAGUAUGUGUUGCUCCCGGGGAGAUUCAAGUUGAAUUUCUUCUCUGACAGAGUGGUGAGGCAGUGGCACAGGCUGCCCAGGGUGGUGGUGCAGUCAUUGUCCCUGACGGUGUUUCAGAACUCUGUGAAUGUGGCACUGAGGGACUUGGUUAAUGAACGUGGUGGGAAUGGGUUGGUGGUUGGACUAGAUGGUUUUAGAGGUCUUUUCCAACUAUAAAGAAUCUGUG